AGCAGCCGCGGUAAUUCCAGCUCCAAUAGCGUAUAUUAAAGUUGUUGCAGUUAAAAAGCUCGUAGUUGAAUUUCGGGAUUAGUGCGCCGGUCGUGCCUUCGGUAUGUACUGGUGUUACUGGUUCCUACCUUCUGACGAACCGUCAUGUCAUUAAUUUGGUGUGGCGGGAAAUCAGGACUGUUACUUUGAAAAAAUUAGAGUGUUUAAAGCAGGCUCGCGCUUGAAUACAUUAGCAUGGAAUAGUGAAAUAGGACGUUCGAUCCUAUUUUGUUGGUUUCUAGGAUUGACGUAAUGAUUAAUAGGGAUAGUUGGGGGCAUUAGUAUUCAAUUGUCAGAGGUGAAAUUCUUGGAUUUAUUGAAGACUAACUACUGCGAAAGCAUUUGCCAAGGAUGUUUUCAUUAAUCAAGAACGAAAGUUAGGGGAUCGAAGACGAUCAGAUACCGUCGUAGUCUUAACCAUAAACUAUGCCGACUAGGGAUCGGAUGAUGUAAUUUUUAAUGACUCAUUCGGCGCCUUACG
rnacentral:rRNA from 1 species